rnacentral:misc_RNA from 1 species
UUUCCGUAGGUGAACCUGCGGAAGGAUCAUUAAUGAGUUGUCAUGGGGUUCGAUGCUGGCAGCCAGUUUUUGGAUGCAUGUGCUUGCCCUAACAAUCAUCUCCUUCCAAACACCUGUGCACAUUUUUGAGGGAGUCUUGAGUUGGUUGCCGCUCUUGGGUGAUUUUCUCACAUUCCCUUAAAUCAUUAUACGCUAUAAACAAUGUUGAACGUGCUCUGUGCCGCAAGGCCAUUAAUAUAAUACAACUUUUAACAACGGAUCUCUUGGCUCUCACAUCGAUGAAGAACGCAGC